rnacentral:rRNA from 1 species
UGGGGAAUAUUGCACAAUGGGCGCAAGCCUGAUGCAGCCAUGCCGCGUGUAUGAAGAAGGCCUUCGGGUUGUAGAGUACUUUCAGCGGGGAGGAAGGGAGUAAAGUUAAUACCUUUGCUCAUUGACGUUACCCGCAGAAGAAGCACCGGCUAACUCCGUGCCAGCAGCCGCGGUAAUACGGAGGGUGCAAGCGUUAAUCGGAAUUACUGGGCGUAAAGCGCACGCAGGCGGUUUGUUAAGUCAGAUGUGAAAUCCCCGGGCUCAACCUGGGAACUGCAUCUGAUACUGGCAAGCUUGAGUCUCGUAGAGGGGGGUAGAAUUCCAGGUGUAGCGGUGAAAUGCGUAGAGAUCUGGAGGAAUACCGGUGGCGAAGGCGGCCCCCUGGACGAAGACUGACGCUCAGGUGCGAAAGCGUGGGGAGCAAACAGG